rnacentral:rRNA from 1 species
UAGCUAGUUGGUGGGGUAAAGGCCUACCAAGGCGACGAUCUGUAGCGGGUCUGAGAGGAUGAUCCGCCACACUGGGACUGAGACACGGCCCAGACUCCUACGGGAGGCAGCAGUGGGGAAUAUUGGACAAUGGGCGAAAGCCUGAUCCAGCCAUGCCGCGUGUGUGAAGAAGGCCUUUUGGUUGUAAAGCACUUUAAGCGAGGAGGAGGCUACUUGGAUUAAUACUCUAGGAUAGUGGACGUUACUCGCAGAAUAAGCACCGGCUAACUCUGUGCCAGCAGCCGCGGUAAUACAGAGGGUGCGAGCGUUAAUCGGAUUUACUGGGCGUAAAGCGUGCGUAGGCGGCUUUUUAAGUCGGAUGUGAAAUCCCUGAGCUUAACUUAGGAAUUGCAUUCGAUACUGGGAAGCUAGAGUAUGGGAGAGGAUGGUAGAAUUCCAGGUGUAGCGGUGAAAUGCGUAGAGAUCUGGAGGAAUACCGAUGGCGAAGGCAGCCAUCUGGCCUAAUACUGACGCUGAGGUACGAAAGCAUGGGGAGCAAACAGGAUUAGAUACCCUGGUAGUCCAUGCCGUAAACGAUGUCUACUAGCCGUUGGGGCCUUUGAGGCUUUAGUGGCGCAGCUAACGCG